rnacentral:rRNA from 1 species
UACGAAGGGGGCUAGCGUUGCUCGGAAUGACUGGGCGUAAAGGGCGCGUAGGCGGUUUGGACAGUCAGAUGUGAAAUUCCUGGGCUCAACCUGGGGGCUGCAUUUGAUACGUUCGGACUAGAGUGGGGAAGAGGGUCGUGGAAUUCCCGAGUGUAGAGGUGGAAAUUCGUAGAUAUUGGGAAGAACACCGGUGGCGAAGGCGGCGACCUGGUCCUUGACUGACGCUGAGGCGCGAAAGCGUGGGUAGCAAACAGG